AGUUUAGCAUUGCUUUAAAGAUUACAGUAUGGUGAAGGGGGGAGGGAUCAAAGACUAGGCCCAGCCUGUUCUCCAGCCUUUCUUAUGAGGGGUUAAUCUCCCUUUGAAGAUUUUUAUUGUGGAUGUGAAACUUGAAUCUCUGAAACAGCAGAUGUGGGAAGGGUUUGGACUAUUGUGUUGUUGUUGGAUGUUGAGUGUCUUUGGAAAACAUGAAGGGAAGAAUUGGGGUGAGAAGAAACAAUGAGUUGGGACAGGUAAAAACAGGUCACAUUUCAUAACUUGGACAUCAACCAGGAAUUCCAGUGUAAACAUAAGCUGGCGAUGUCAGAAAUAAAGACACAAAGAAUGCUAAAGGUGCAAAACAACCAGAACAGUUGGGAGAGUGAGGAAGAAUGAACAAUAAAGGGAUUUACCCAUUAACUGACCUUCACAAGUAUUUGCAUGUGAAGGAAUAAAUAAAUAAAUAAAUAAAUUUCCUAGGAUAAAAACAAAGGCUACAGUGUGACCAGUUGGUUUACGAAAAUAAAGGUGGGAGGUAAUUAAGGAACACUGCUGAGGAGCUCAUGCAUGUAUUCUGUGUUCUCUAGCGAAGCUGAUGGGGGAGGUACCUUCUUUUUUAGGGCAAUGAAGAUGGCACUGUGUAGGGACUGGAGUGUUGCGUUAAUGCAUUUGGCAGGAAACAGAUCAACCGAAAGAUAACAAAACACCAAAAGGUUAGACCAUGGAAAAGGUGGAGGACUUGGAUUGUGACUCCAGAGGCCUUUAGGUAUAAAAUUUUAAAAUGUUCCCAUGAAAGCAGCUAAUCCAUAUUAGAUACAGUAGCCAUAGCACAUAAAUUUAGAGUGGAAACAAACUUAAAGUGGUGUUUUUCAGUAUCCUCUAGAAGGAAAGAUGACUCCUAUGAAUUACAGAUUCAUGUUCAUUGCUUCUAGGUAAACCUGUAAAAAUGAUCGUCAUAAGUGUCUGAAACCCUUGGCAGUGGUUAUGAACUGAAAGAGUAAAAUGGGCCUUUCUCUGAAGGAAAACUGUACCUCUUUGAUAUCUUGAUUUUCUUUUUAAUUCACAAAUGGCAGAUAAUUAAGUAGACAAGGCACGAAACAGGAGGUAAAGUGCUAUCAUGUUUCCCCAGGAUAGUAGACUGGAAAAAGAAGUAGCUCUAAAUCUAAGCAUGCCAAAGUGCUAGCUGUUGAAUGACCCAUGAAGAGAUUGACGGGGAGAUUUGAGGGGGCUCAUGGCUGAGUAAGCUCCCAACCGAAGGGAAGCUCCAUGGUGUCUCCAGGUCCUGCACUACAGUUCAAACCCUCAUUUGUUCCCACUCAUAAUGAAGGCUUCAAUUCCACGUGAGAGUUUCAUUUCCAUGAAAAGAUUUAUUGCACAGAUGAUCAAGCCUGAUUUCACAUAGAAGCAGCAUAUUCCAGUAUAAGUGUCCAACAAGGUUUAUUCUCUGGUAUCAACAAGACUCAAACCUCUCUGUUGCUCCGAUGCAGACAGAUUUACUGUACUGAUCUCUGUUCCAGACCCAUACUUACCUGUUGGUGCCAGGAGUUGGUGUUUCAUUUGCUGGAAAGCUUCCAGAGAGCUCUGCGCUCCUGUCAGACCCAUGGUUCCCUGGCUGGAGAGAGUGGAAUGACAUACAGAACCUCAACAGUGCAAGAAAUGGGCACUGAGUGAUGUCUGGAAGCAGAUGAGGUGGGCAGUGUGGGCGCAGUAGCCAUUUACAAACAUCUGUACCAAACAGACUCAUGGUGACGGUUUGAACCGUGUUCAUUCCAGAGAAGUUAACUCAUAAGAAGAAUCAUAUGUGGAUUAUAACAGAGAAAAGAAAGAUGGAGUGGCCAUCUCCAAAACAGCCACAGGUUGCCCUCACACUCAUGGCCAUUCACAAUCUCUCUGCACAGAGGCAAACCAGCCAUUCUGCUCCAAGCACCAAGUUUAAGUGAAGGCAUACAAGCAGAGAUUCUUCAUACUCAGAAGACUCAUCUGAAGUUCAUUCUUGAAACCUGUAAGUCACAAGAGGAAAAGAACAUGGGAGUGAGAGACAAAUCUGAGGAAGGAGGAAUUAUGACUAAUAAGAAGAAAGGAGGAAAAUAUUUUCAGGAUGGAAAAGUCAACAGCUUUUAGUAAGAGACAUUUUUCUUUUAAAAGAUUACAUUCAAUUUCCAAUCACAAAAAAAAAAUUAAAUGUUAGUACAUGGCAAAGUGUGCAUGUAUGGUUGUGAACAGUGAUUAUAAUAACACGCUCUUAAAGAUUCUGAAGAAUCUGUGGUUCCCACUUGCUUCAGUCGUGGAUCUGGAUCCCUACAGUUCCCAGCCCCUGUCUUUAAACAGUGACUCAUUUUCCAGACAAAAGACAGGCACUAUAACUGCACAAGAU
ensembl:lncRNA